AUGCACAUUUGGUUCCCACUAACGUUUUUUGCUCUAAUUCCGUGUGUGGUAUCUAGUCAUUUUCGAGGAGGAUUGAUAACAUGGAAGGCGGUAAAUGAAACCCAGAUUCUAGUCCGUCACCGUCUUACCUAUGUCUACUCCUACUGUUCCAAUCCACAAAACAAUACAUUGGAAUGUAUCAGUGGAUGUACAGGUAGUGUGGUAACGAAUGCAAAUUGCACGAAAAGCAAUUCAGCAGAAAACUGGGCGGAUUUUGAAGGAGAAACCAUAUUUGAUAUCAGACACGCAACAUCAUCACAUCUCGGUUUGCGAUUUGCCUCUGGGGAUUUGGUAUCGUUAACACAGCCUACAUUUGCUCAUUCCUUGAGCCUUAAGAUGACUGUAGAUUUAAGUCUACGAAGUGAUACUGGAAGCACAAACCAGUCACCUGUUUCAUCAAUGGCUUCAUCUAUAAUACAUCCAUGCGAACUCAAUCAGUACAUUCACAUUCCAGUGGCGGACUUUGACGGAGAUAAUAUUCGAUGUCGCUUUGCAUUAGGGUUAGACGAAUGUGGAUCAAUUUGUAGCAACCAUUCAUCUUAUUUGACAUUAAAUGAGACAGCCUGUGCAUUCUAUUUCCAUUACGAUGUGAGUUAUGGAGAUUACGCUGUGGCUUUACAGAUCGAGGAUUUCACAGACUCGUCCUCUAGUGUUCCAUUAAGCAGCGUUCCUUUACAGUUUAUGAUUAUUGUUAGCAGUAUUCCGUGUUCUGAAUCCUGUUCCUUUGUUUCACCCACACCUCUCGAUGGAGAUACAUUACAUUCUCAAAACGGAUCGUUACAGUUUAUUGCAAGUGCUAAAUCACGCUCUUCAUAUGAAAUAGUGACAGAAUUCCAUGUUAUGUCACCUCUUCCAUUUACAAUGUCAGCCAUCUCACAACCUAUUGUAGACGAGUAUCAGGUCACCAUGUCACUAGAGUCUGUUGUCAAUAAUGUAAUCGGAACAUAUGUAGUGUGCUUUUCAGCAGAGACGAAUAAAAGACAAUCCUCACCAUCGAGAUGCAUUACAGUAAAUAUUACAGCACCAAACAAGUACGUUUUUGGCAUUGAAGCUCUGGCAGAUUUACAAUCGAACGGAUGUGGUGGCCAGGGAACUUGGUCAGUUUAUGACAGCCAGUGCUACAGUUGCAUAGCUAAUGCUGUUCCUUGGCAAACUGCCAGAGCAUCGUGUCAGCAAUUAGGGGCGGAUCUUGUUACUAUAAGCAAUGCAGGGACACAGUCGUUUUUGGAACAACUUUGCCCCAACACAUACCACUGGAUUGGACUGAACGAUAGAGCCAAUGAAGGCACCUUUGUAUGGGUUAAGGAUUCAACGCCAGUGUUUUAUUCAAAUUGGAACACAGGCGAGCCAAACAAUGCAGGAGGGGAUGAAGACUGUGUGCAUACUUUGCAGAAUACACAUAAGUGGAAUGAUUUAAGGUGUACAUUUAGUUAUUCUUACAUCUGUCAGAAACCUCAAGAUAUCGAUUACUGCAAUCCAGAGCCUUGUCAAAACAACGGAACCUGUACAGACCUGGUCAACGACUACCACUGUGAUUGUGUGGCAGGAUUCAAUGGAGCAAAUUGUGAAAACAAUAUCGAUGACUGCUAUCCAGAGCCUUGUCAAAACAACGGAACCUGUACAGACCUGGUCAACGACUACCACUGUGAUUGUGUUGCAGGAUUCAAUGGAACAAAUUGUGACAUCAAUAUCGAUGAGUGUGCAUCUGAACCUUGUCAGAACAAUGGAACUUGUAUAGAUCUGAUCAAUGAUUACACAUGUGCUUGUACUGUCGGUUUUAAUGGAACGAACUGCACAAUUGAUAUCGAUGACUGCAAUCCAGAGCCUUGUCAAAACAACGGAACCUGUACAGACCUGGUCAACGACUACCAAUGUAGUUGUGUUGCAGGAUUCAAUGGAACAAAUUGUGAAAACAAUAUCGAUGACUGCAAUCCAGAUCCCUGUCAAAACAACGGAACCUGUACAGACCUGGUCAACGACUACCACUGUGAUUGUGUAGCAGGAUUCAAUGGAACAAAUUGUGACAUCAAUAUCGAUGAGUGUGCAUCUGAACCUUGUCAGAACAAUGGAACUUGUAUAGAUCUGAUCAAUGAUUACACAUGUGCUUGUACUGUCGGUUUUAAUGGAACGAACUGCACAAUUGAUAUCGAUGACUGCAAUCCAGAGCCUUGUCAAAACAACGGAACCUGUACAGACCUGGUCAACGACUACCAAUGUAGUUGUGUUGCAGGAUUCAAUGGAACAAAUUGUGAAAACAAUAUCGAUGACUGCAAUCCAGAGCCUUGUCAAAACAACGGAACCUGUACAGACCUGGUCAACGACUACCACUGUGAUUGUGUUGCAGGAUUCAAUGGAACAAAUUGUGACAUCAAUAUCGAUGAGUGUGCAUCUGAACCUUGUCAGAACAAUGGAACUUGUAUAGAUCUGAUCAAUGAUUACACAUGUGCUUGUACUGUCGGUUUUAAUGGAACGAACUGCACAAUUGAUAUCGAUGACUGCAAUCCAGAGCCUUGUCAAAACAACGGAACCUGUACAGACCUGGUCAACGACUACCAAUGUAGUUGUGUUGCAGGAUUCAAUGGAACAAAUUGUGAAAACAAUAUCGAUGACUGCAAUCCAGAGCCUUGUCAAAACAACGGAACCUGUACAGACCUGGUCAACAACUACCACUGUGAUUGUGUUGCAGGAUUCAAUGGAACAAAUUGUGACAUCAAUAUCGAUGAGUGUGCGUCUGAACCUUGUCAGAACAAUGGAACUUGUAUAGAUCUGAUCAAUGAUUACACAUGUGCUUGUACUGUCGGUUUUAAUGGAACGAACUGCACAAUUGAUAUCGAUGACUGCAAUCCAGAGCCUUGUCAAAACAACGGAACCUGUACAGACCUGGUCAACGACUACCAAUGUAGUUGUGUUGCAGGAUUCAAUGGAACAAAUUGUGAAAACAAUAUCGAUGACUGCAAUCCAGAUCCCUGUCAAAACAAUGGAACCUGUACAGACCUGGUCAACGACUACCACUGUGAUUGUGUUGCAGGAUUCAAUGGAACAAAUUGUGACAUCAAUAUCGAUGAGUGUGCAUCUGAACCUUGUCAGAACAAUGGAACUUGUAUAGAUCUGAUCAAUGAUUACACAUGUGCUUGUACUGUCGGUUUUAAUGGAACGAACUGCACAAUUGAUAUCGAUGACUGCAAUCCAGAGCCUUGUCAAAACAACGGAACCUGUACAGACCUGGUCAACGACUACCAAUGUAGUUGUGUUGCAGGAUUCAAUGGAACAAAUUGUGAAAACAAUAUCGAUGACUGCAAUCCAGAGCCUUGUCAAAACAACGGAACCUGUACAGACCUGGUCAACAACUACCACUGUGAUUGUGUUGCAGGAUUCAAUGGAACAAAUUGUGACAUCAAUAUCGAUGAGUGUGCGUCUGAACCUUGUCAGAACAAUGGAACUUGUAUAGAUCUGAUCAAUGAUUACACAUGUGCUUGUACUGUCGGUUUUAAUGGAACGAACUGCACAAUUGAUAUCGAUGACUGCAAUCCAGAGCCUUGUCAAAACAACGGAACCUGUACAGACCUGGUCAACGACUACCAAUGUAGUUGUGUUGCAGGAUUCAAUGGAACAAAUUGUGAAAACAAUAUCGAUGACUGCAAUCCAGAUCCCUGUCAAAACAAUGGAACCUGUACAGACCUGGUCAACGACUACCACUGUGAUUGUGUUGCAGGAUUCAAUGGAACAAAUUGUGACAUCAAUAUCGAUGAGUGUGCAUCUGAACCUUGUCAGAACAAUGGAACUUGUAUAGAUCUGAUCAAUGAUUACACAUGUGCUUGUACUGUCGGUUUUAAUGGAACGAACUGCACAAUUGAUAUCGAUGACUGCAAUCCAGAGCCUUGUCAAAACAACGGAACCUGUACAGACCUGGUAAACGACUACCAAUGUAGUUGUGUUGCAGGAUUCAAUGGAACAAAUUGUGAAAACAAUAUCGAUGACUGCAAUCCAGAGCCUUGUCAAAACAACGGAACCUGUACAGACCUGGUCAACAACUACCACUGUGAUUGUGUUGCAGGAUUCAAUGGAACAAAUUGUGACAUCGAUAUCGAUGAGUGUGCAUCUGAACCUUGUCAGAACAAUGGAACUUGUAUAGAUCUGAUCAAUGAUUACACAUGUUCUUGUAUUGUCGGUUUUAAUGGAACGAACUGCACAAUUGAUAUCGAUGACUGCAAUCCAGAGCCUUGUCAAAACAACGGAACCUGUACAGACCUGGUCAACGACUACCAAUGUAGUUGUGUUGCAGGAUUCAAUGGAAUAAAUUGUGAAAACAGUAAACACCAUACCUGCAUAAUGAAUUUGUUUCUGGGAAUCCAGAAAACCUUCAAUGUGUUACUUCAUGAACAUUUGAUAUUCGUGACAUAUGGUCUCAUUUUCAUCAUAAACAUCAGAAUAAGAAUUGUCCAGAAAAACAUUCUGUUCAUUCAGUUGGUACUUGAAAUUGUAGAUAUCGAUGACUGCAAUCCAGAUCCCUGUCAAAACAACGGAACCUGUACAGACCUGGUCAACGACUACCACUGUGAUUGUGUUGCAGGAUUCAAUGGAACAAAUUGUGACAUCAAUAUCGAUGAGUGUGCAUCUGAACCUUGUCAGAACAAUGGAACUUGUAUAGAUCUGAUCAAUGAUUACACAUGUGCUUGUACUGUCGGUUUUAAUGGAACGAACUGCACAAUUGAUAUCGAUGACUGCAAUCCAGAGCCUUGUCAAAACAACGGAACCUGUACAGACCUGGUCAACGACUACCAAUGUAGUUGUGUUGCAGGAUUCAAUGGAACAAAUUGUGAAAACAAUAUCGAUGACUGCAAUCCAGAGCCUUGUCAAAACAACGGAACCUGUACAGACCUGGUCAACAACUACCACUGUGAUUGUGUUGCAGGAUUCAAUGGAACAAAUUGUGACAUCAAUAUCGAUGAGUGUGCAUCUGAACCUUGUCAGAACAAUGGAACUUGUAUAGAUCUGAUCAAUGAUUACACAUGUUCUUGUACUGUCGGUUUUAAUGGAACGAACUGCACAAUUGAUAUCGAUGACUGCAAUCCAGAGCCUUGUCAAAACAACGGAACCUGUACAGACCUGGUCAACGACUACCAAUGUAGUUGUGUUGCAGGAUUCAAUGGAACAAAUUGUGAAAACAAUAUCGAUGACUGCAAUCCAGAGCCUUGUCAAAACAACGGAACCUGUACAGACCUGGUCAACAACUACCACUGUGAUUGUGUUGCAGGAUUCAAUGGAACAAAUUGUGACAUCAAUAUCGAUGAGUGUGCAUCUGAACCUUGUCAGAACAAUGGAACUUGUAUAGAUCUGAUCAAUGAUUACACAUGUGCUUGUACUGUCGGUUUUAAUGGAACGAACUGCACAAUUGAUAUCGAUGACUGCAAUCCAGAGCCUUGUCAAAACAACGGAACCUGUACAGACCUGGUCAACGACUACCAAUGUAGUUGUGUUGCAGGAUUCAAUGGAACAAAUUGUGAAAACAAUAUCGAUGACUGCAAUCCAGAGCCUUGUCAAAACAACGGAACCUGUACAGACCUGGUCAACAACUACCACUGUGAUUGUGUUGCAGGAUUCAAUGGAACAAAUUGUGACAUCAAUAUCGAUGAGUGUGCGUCUGAACCUUGUCAGAACAAUGGAACUUGUAUAGAUCUGAUCAAUGAUUACACAUGUGCUUGUACUGUCGGUUUUAAUGGAACGAACUGCACAAUUGAUAUCGAUGACUGCAAUCCAGAGCCUUGUCAAAACAACGGAACCUGUACAGACCUGGUCAACGACUACCAAUGUAGUUGUGUUGCAGGAUUCAAUGGAACAAAUUGUGAAAACAAUAUCGAUGACUGCAAUCCAGAGCCUUGUCAAAACAACGGAACCUGUUCAGACCUGGUCAACGACUACCACUGUGAUUGUGUUGCAGGAUUCAAUGGAAGAAAUUGUGACAUCAAUAUCGAUGAGUGUGCGUCUGAACCUUGUCAGAACAAUGGAACUUGUAUAGAUCUGAUCAAUGAUUACACAUGUGCUUGUACUGUCGGUUUUAAUGGAACGAACUGCACAAUUGAUAUCGAUGACUGCAAUCCAGAGCCUUGUCAAAACAACGGAACCUGUACAGACCUGGUCAACGACUACCACUGUGAUUGUGUUGCAGGAUUCAAUGGAACAAAUUGUGAAAACAAUAUCGAUGACUGCAAUCCAGAUCCCUGUCAAAACAACGGAACCUGUACAGACCUGGUCAACGACUACCACUGUGAUUGUGUUGCAGGAUUCAAUGGAACAAAUUGUGACAUCAAUAUCGAUGAGUGUGCGUCUGAACCUUGUCAGAACAAUGGAACUUGUAUAGAUCUGAUUAAUGAUUACACAUGUGCUUGUACUGUCGGUUUUAAUGGAACGAACUGCACAAUUGAUAUCGAUGACUGCAAUCCAGAGCCUUGUCAAAACAACGGAACCUGUACAGACCUGGUCAACGACUACCACUGUGAUUGUGUUGCAGGAUUCAAUGGAACAAAUUGUGAAAACAAUAUCGAUGACUGCAAUCCAGAGCCUUGUCAAAACAACGGAACCUGUUCAGACCUGGUCAACGACUACCACUGUGAUUGUGUUGCAGGAUUCAAUGGAACAAAUUGUGACAUCAAUAUCGAUGAGUGUGCAUCUGAACCUUGUCAGAACAAUGGAACUUGUAUAGAUCUGAUCAAUGAUUACACAUGUGCUUGUACUGUCGGUUUUAAUGGAACGAACUGCACAAUUGAUGUCGAUGAGUGUGCAUCUCAACCUUGUCAGAACAACGGAUCUUGUAUUGAUCUGAUCAAUGGUUACCAAUACGUCGAUCUGUGCGCUUCCUCCCCAUGUAAAAACAACGGAACCUGUACUAAUUUGAUCAAUAGUUUCCAGUGUCAAUGCCCUUUGGAAUUUAAUGGAACUACCUGCUCCAUGGAGUCACUUUUAACGAAAUUCACAAUGGAAUUGAAAAUUGACGUAACAAUAUCAGAAUAUUUGUCUUCAAGCACUGGUUAUAACACCGUUAAAAGUAAAGUACAUAUUGCCUUAACAGACAUUUAUUCUACGAUACCAGGAUCAACAGUCGUUAUAAACAGCAUAAGGAAGGGAAGUCUUAUUGUUGACUUUGAUCUCAUUAUUCCGGAUGAUCCUGUAUCCAAGGUUCAGGUCGUGGACACUGUAUAUAAGCUUGUGAACGGUCUAGCCUUUGUCAACUACUCCGGCGAGGUCGUCAACGUAACAUCAGCAUCGUUCAAUUCGUCUGCUGGCACCGUUAUCAUCACUAAUUCCACUGACGGGUGUUCCAUUAUGAAUUCCAUGAACGUGUGUUUACCUGAAUACAGGUGUCAUGAGUUUAACAACUACACGGUGGCCUGCAUUCCAAUUAUAAUUCUUGUAUUUAAUCUCAUGAGUGAAAGUUGA
rnacentral:sRNA from 1 species